UUAGUUCGUGGAACUGAUCUGUCUGCUUAAUUGCGUUAACGAACGAGACCUUUCCUUGCUAAUUCGUUGGUCCAUUGCUUCGGCAAUGUGGCUAUUAAUCUGUUGCUUCGGCUCAGAUUACUUCUUAGAAGGACUUUUUAUAUCCAGUAAACGGAAGUUGAAGGCAAUAACAGGU
rnacentral:rRNA from 1 species